UGAGGAAUAUUGGUCAAUGGGCGGAAGCCUGAACCAGCCAAGUCGCGUGAGGGAAGACGGUCCUAUGGAUUGUAAACCUCUUUUGUCGGGGAGCAAAGGAUCCGCACGAGUGCGGAGGCGAGAGUACCCGAAGAAAAAGCAUCGGCUAACUCCGUGCCAGCAGCCGCGGUAAUACGGAGGAUGCGAGCGUUAUCCGGAUUUAUUGGGUUUAAAGGGUGCGCAGGCGGAGGAUCAAGUCAGCGGUAAAAUAGCGGGGCUCAACCCCGUCGAGCCGUUGAAACUGGUUUUCUAGAGUGAGCGAGAAGUAUGCGGAAUGCGUGGUGUAGCGGUGAAAUGCAUGGAUAUCACGCAGAACUCCGAUUGCGAAGGCAGCAUACCGGCGCUCAACUGACGCUCAGGCACGAAAGCGUGGGUAUCGAACAGGAUUAGAUACC
rnacentral:rRNA from 1 species